AACGAACGCUGGCGGCAGGCUUAACAUAUGCAAGUCGAGCGCCCCGCAAGGGGAGCGGCAGACGGGUGAGUAACGCGUGGGAAUCUACCCAACUCUACGGAAUAACUCAGGGAAACUUGUGCUAAUACCGUAUACGCCCUUCGGGGAAGGAUUAUCGGAGUUGGAUGAGCCCGCGUUGGAUUAGCUAGUUGGUGGGGUAA
rnacentral:rRNA from 1 species